rnacentral:lncRNA from 1 species
AACUACAGGCUUGUUUGUGUGCGGAACGGUGUCGCCACUACCCAUCUGCGCAAAAAUACAAGGGAUUCUGUGUGUGGGCAUGCUUGUCGAAACUCCCCCAUGCUACUAGCAAAAAACCCUUACGGGCUUCCCAACCUCACGGGUUUUGCCACCUGCGGGCAUGUAGAUCAUUUGUCAUGACUGCUCCACUGAUUUGACAUCACUAAGCCUGAAAUUGAUAGCUGCAAGCCAAGACCCCUCUCUUCUCUGCCAUAUGUUGUUUGACCAAUUCCCCUCUCCAACCUUAUUGGCCACCCAAGCCUCCAACAGCUUAGAUCACUUGUAUGUGAUCCAACGGCCAAGGAUGCACUAGAUGGGUAGUUUAAAUACUUCAUUUCCCUCUAUUUUAUCCUCCAUUUCUUCAUUUGGUCAAGAGAGCAGAAAACCAGUGAGUGAGAGAGAGAGUCGAGUCCGAGAGUGAGAGCUUGGUGUUAUGGUGUGAGCUGAGAGCAGGAAAAAUAGUGUGCGCUUCUAUCUGGUACGAAAUGACUUCUUCCCUUCUAAGGUAAGUCUUUUUUCCUUUAUUUUGAGAUGAUUAACUCUUCCUUUCAGCUACUCACUCAUUUCCCCUUCACCCAAUACAAAAUCCUUCUUCCAACUUCAACUGAAGCUCCUUCUACAACUAAAAUUGAGCCAGGACAUACUAUUUGAGGUAAACACCUUUUUACUCUUCGAUUCUUGUUCUUUUCCAUUCUUCUCUUGAUUUAUAAAUUUAGAAUAGUUUUUGUAGGCCUUAAGUUGAGUUUAAAUCAAAUUCAUGCAGUUAAAAAUAACCCGAAAUCCACAAAUUCAACUUAAAAACACGACUGACACAACAACAGCUACACAAUGUUGUCAUAUUUCUAAUGCCCUUAUGUUCAUACAUUUUGAUAUAUUAGAGUGUCUACAAUGAGGUAAGAUUAGUGGUAAUUAGUUUUUACAAGCAUUCGGUUUUAUAGAUGCAUUUAGAUGAGUUAAAUCUUUGAAAAAUGUGUGAAUGUUUACUAUUUUAGUUGAUGUAGAGUGUCUUGUGUUGGUUGCAUGAUUUUGAUGAUUUAAUCAUGUUUUUGUUUAUGUUUUUUUAUGAGUUUUGAUGCCCGGAUAAUUUAUGAUGAAUUGGAAUGAAUUUCAGAUAAUAAAUGAAAGAAAAAAAUGGAAAAGGAAUAGCAAACAGAGGCUAGAUUCCUCUAUCUGUGAUGUCCAAGCACUAAUGUGCCAGCAAAGGGGGCAGGCAUGGGUGAUCGUGCAUGAUGGUGCAUGCGAGACACUGUACAAAUGCCCCUGCUGCACCAAGAGGGCCCGCAUGAGGCACUGUGUGUGUGGAGUGAUAUGGUGCAUGUGCACAAGGAUGUAGACCUAGGCACCCACAACAUUGAGGCGUGUGCCCCACUGCCAUACUGCAGCACACACCAAGUCGUGCGGGGCAUGGAGCGCUAUUAAGCGUGCACAUGCUGAAAGCACCAUCGGCCAAGGCACCUUGUGCCGCGGGUACAGGCUUACAAGAAUUUAUCCCCCUAUCACGGAUUCGAGGACAAAUUGCUCAAAAUGUCAAAAAGAACGAAUUUUUGUAAUUUAAAAUUAAGUUUUGAAUUUUGAAAAUGGUAAAAUAAGAGAUUCAAAAUUAAAAAAGGAAAUUUACAAUUAAAAUAUGAAUUUUGAAUACAGCAAGAAAUAAGGAAUUAGAAAAUUGUUCUAAGGGAAAUUUUGAAAUUUAGUUUUGAUAUUUAAAAAUGGAAAAAUAAGAUAUUUGAAAUUAAAAAGGAAAAUUGGUAAUUUAAAUAUGAAUAAGGCAAGAACUAAGGAAUUUGAAUUUGUUCUAAGGAAAAUUUUGAAACCAAUCUUGAGAAUGUGGAAAUUAAUUUGGCAAAUUUUGAAUUAAGGCAAGUUAAUAAGAACUUGAAAAAUGGGAAGUUGACUAAGAUUCGAAUUUGUAAAAGUGGUUGAUUUGGGAAAAUGGGAAUACAUGGGUCUAACCUAGGUCUAGAUUAGAUAAACAAAAAUAGUAAUAACAUAAAAAGUCUAAUGUCUAAUGAGAUGUAAUAAACAAAAUUGUCCAGUUAAAUCUGUUUACUCUAUUAUCUAUGAGGUUUAUAUGUCUGUAAGUAUGUAUGCUUCUAGACACGUGAAUGGGUUUUGUUCUAUAUCUCUUCGUGGAUGAAGGUUCAGUUUUGCUAGACAUUUUGGUUCAUAGCCUUGUGUACAGGGGAUGAACGAGGCGACCAAAGAGAUUGAGUGAUCUAUCUGUAUAUCUAUUUUGUUAUCUAUGCCCCCAUUCACGGUGUUAUUCGGUGUAUUUUAUCCUAUUAAUUAUAGGCUUAGGCAAGCUGCAUGUGUAGGUACAUAAACAGUGUAACAAAUAAGAUUAGUAAUGUAGAAUUAAAACUAUGUCAGAAGACAAGUUAGAGUCUAAGUCUGGGUACAUGUGUCAGUGAUAUGAUUUAUUCUCGGUAUGGGAUUUGAUCCGAUCUGAUCCAUCAUCUGCUUCUGAUACCUUUGAGACUCUGGUACGUUUGGUAUGAUGAUUUUUUGUUUUAGUUAUUUAAUAAAAUGAAAUGUGGAAAAAUGAAAUGGAUUAGACUUAGUGGUAUAAUUUAUCUCACUUUUUUACUAUUGGCUAAUAUGUAUAUGUUUAAAAAUGGUGAUUGUAUUACUUAAUUAUUGCUUGUCUUACUAAGUUUACUAGAACUCACCCUAAUCCAAUUUUCUUCCCAGAUAAUGAUCUUACAAAUGUCCCUGAUGAUACCUGUCUGGAUCCGUUCCAGGAUGCUUAAUGGAAGCAUUGAAGAACUUUUUUUUGUAUUUUGUUUUUGAUAGGCCAGAUUUUUUUUGUAAACCCACAACAUUUGUAUGUAUGAUUGAUAAUCUAGUGACUUAAUAUGCUACUAAUAUAAUCACUAUAAGGG